CGCUAUGUCGCGAGAACUCACUGACGUCCGCCCGGACAAGCUUCAUAUCCUCCUAUCCACUGUCAGCCCCACCGGAAUCUUCAUGUGCCAUAAAGCAAGGAUUUUUAAUUUCAGUUUGCUGCUUUUCUUCUUCAGAGCUAGUUUCAGAUUCACCAAAAAUGUUAGUGCAUUCAUAUUUACCUUCAAGCAUAUUCUAGAUUUGCUUAGCAGUUAUGCAAAAAGAUAUGCUAUUAAGUUCACUAUCAUCCAAUGCACAAUAUAGAAUAUUCAUGGCUUUUGCAUUUUGCUGAGCCAUUUUCUUAUCAUGAUUAGUAUUUGUAUGUAGCCCAUUGACUAUGAUACUCCAUAAAUCGUAGUCAUGUGUUUGAAUGAAAAUGCGCAUGCGUGCUUUCCAAUGUGUGUAGUUUAUACCAUUAAAUAGUGGAGGUCUAUCAAUUAAUUGUCCCUCACUCAUAGAACAUCCCACUUGGGUUGUCAUGAUCUUUAACUCUUGAUUGUGAGAUCAAUAAUUACUAAUGGAGCACCUUGCUCUGAUACCACUUGUUGCCCAAGGUGACAAGCCAAGAGGGGGGGUGAAUUGGUUUCUUUUAAUUUUAACUAUCUUACUUGUGUUAAAUGAUGAGUUAGUGAACUUAAACAAAUCACAAUGCAAACAACAAGAAGUAUAGUGGUUCGGUGC
rnacentral:lncRNA from 1 species